UACGGAGGGGGCUAGCGUUGUUCGGAAUUACUGGGCGUAAAGCGCACGUAGGCGGCUUUGCAAGUUAGAGGUGAAAGCCCGGGGCUCAACUCCGGAAUUGCCUUUAAAACUGCAUCGCUAGAAUUGUGGAGAGGUAAGUGGAAUUCCGAGUGUAGAGGUGAAAUUCGUAGAUAUUCGCAAGAACACCAGUGGCGAAGGCGGCUCACUGGCCCGAUACUGACGCUGAGGCACGAAAGCGUGGGGAGCAAACAGG
rnacentral:rRNA from 1 species